ACGAACACACAGAAAUGAACAAGGUAGAAUAUAUGAUGAUAUGUAAA
rnacentral:guide_RNA from 1 species